rnacentral:rRNA from 1 species
UACGAAGGGGGGCUAGCGUUGUUCGGAAUUACUGGGCGUAAAGCGCACGUAGGCGGGUAUUUAAGUCAGGGGUGAAAUCCCAGAGCUCAACUCUGGAACUGCCUUUGAUACUGGGUACCUAGAGUAUGGAAGAGGUGAGUGGAAUUCCGAGUGUAGAGGUGAAAUUCGUAGAUAUUCGGAGGAACACCAGUGGCGAAGGCGGCUCACUGGUCCAUUACUGACGCUGAGGUGCGAAAGCGUGGGGAGCAAACAGG